AAGUCGUAACAAGGUUUCCGUAGGUGAACCUGCGGAAGGAUCAUUACCGAGUUAGGGUCGCCCCGCGCGCCCGACCUCCAACCCUUUGUCUACCUGACCUUAUGUUGCUUCGGCAGGCCCGCCGCCCCUCUCGUGGGGGUGGCCGCCGGGGGUCCUUCGUGACCUCGGGCCCGCGCCUGUCGAUGGCCCAAUAAACUCUUGCUAUUAAACGUGUCGUCUGAGUAAAACAAACAAAAUUAAAACAAAACUUUCAACAACGGAUCUCUUGGUUCUGGCAUCGAUGAAGAACGCAGCGAAAUGCGAUAAGUAAUGCGAAUUGCAGAAUCCGUGAGUCAUCGAAUCUUUGAACGCAUAUUGCGCCCUCUGGUAUUCCGGAGGGCAUGCCUGUUCGAGCGUCAUUAUCACCCCUCAAGCCCGGCUUGUUUGUUGGACCCGGCGGGAGCUUCGCGCCCCCGCCCGUCUCAAAGAUAAUGACGGCGUCUGUGAGGACUCCUGUACACUGAGCUUUCGGGCACGUACUAGGCUAGAAGUCCAGACCCGGUCUUUUGUCGUGCGUCCGCGCCGACACCCCCCUUUUUAUCAAGUUGACCUCGGAUCAGGUAGGAAUACCCGCUGAACUUAA
rnacentral:rRNA from 1 species